rnacentral:rRNA from 1 species
ACGGGAGGCAGCAGUAGGGAAUAUUGCACAAUGGGGGGAACCCUGAUGCAGCAACGCCACGUGUGGGAAGACGCAUUUCGGUGUGUAAACCACUGUCGUGAGGGAAUAAGGCUACUUUCCGGAGUAGUUGAAUGUACCUUGUAAGGAAGCACCGGCAAACUUCGUGCCAGCAGUCGCGGUAAUACGAGGGGUGCAAGCGUUGUUCGGAAUCACUGGGCGUAAAGGGAGCGCAGGCGGAGAUGCAAGCGGACUGUACAAUACCGGGGCCCAACCCCGGACCUGCAGUCCGGACUGCACCUCUUGGAUAGUUCAGGGGCAAGCGGAAUUCCUGGUGUAGCGGUGGAAUGCGUAGAGAUCAGGAAGAACACCGAUGGCGAAGGCAGCUUGCUGGGGACUUAUCGACGCUCAUGCUCGAAAGUGCGGGUAGCAAACAGGAUUAGAUACCCUGGUA